UCUUGCAAACUAAGGAUGGCGACCGGCGCACGGGUGAGUAACACGUAUCCAACCUGCCGAUAACUCGGGGAUAGCCUUUCGAAAGAAAGAUUAAUAUCCGAUAGUAUAUUAAAACCGCAUGGUUUUACUAUUAAAGAAUUUCGGUUAUCGAUGGGGAUGCGUUCCAUUAGUUUGUUGGCGGGGUAACGGCCCACCAAGACUACGAUGGAUAGGGGUUCUGAGAGGAAGGUCCCCCACACUGGAACUGAGACACGGUCCAA
rnacentral:rRNA from 1 species